rnacentral:tRNA from 1 species
AAAAGUCCUAAAGGCAC